rnacentral:misc_RNA from 1 species
ACACCAGAAGAACUAAGAAUGGUUAGUAUUUCUUUGCACUGAACAUACAACCAUCAUAAUUCCUAGGACUUCAUUUUUUGUUUUAAGCAUUUGAUCUUGGUUGGCAUGAAACACAUGCUAAGUGGUCCUUUCAGGUUUCAAUAAUUAAUAUGGGUUUUGAACUCACUGGUGGCUAUAAUUGAAGCAAUGAGUGUUAUGAUUCUUUAUGGUACUAGUACAUGUAUGAGAUUAGAAAAGAUUUUCCAGGGGUUGAAGGAGUAGCAGUUUCAUUUAGUUUUGGCUGUGGAAUCUCUUAGGUGGGAACUAUUGAAUAAUUCCUGCCUUCAUCUUCUGUCUGCUGCUAUCACACUUAUUAUAUGCUGCACUUUAUAUUCAUGUGAAAGACCCCUUCCCACGUUGCAAUCAUGCAAGUGAUCUUGUAAUCAAAACCUAGAUCACAGAGGAGUUUGGGACUGGGGAGGCUUGUCUGUGCUUUGUCUAAGGGCAAGCCUGGGUUACUUGCUUUCAUGUUUAAUGCACUUUGUAGCUGAAAAAGUUUUGGCCUAAUUGCUUCUAAUUGAUUUUGCUUUAUUACCUUGUAGCACACGGGCUUAAG